UACGUAGGGGGCAAGCGUUGUCCGGAUUUAUUGGGCGUAAAGAGCUCGUAGGCGGUUCCGUAAGUCGUGACGUCAAAUCUCUGGGCUCAACCCAGAAUCGCUUCCGAUACUGCGGUGACUGGAGUCCGGUAGGGGAGUGUGGAAUUCCUGGUGUAGCGGUGAAAUGCGCAGAUAUCAGGAGGAACACCGGUGGCGAAGGCGGGUCUCUGGGCCGAUACUGACGCUGAGGAGCGAAAGCGUGGGGAGCGAACAGG
rnacentral:rRNA from 1 species